GCAAACUCUGGGAACUCUGUUGUCAGUGGCUGAGGCCGAAGACCCACUCGAAAGAGGAAAUCCUGGAGCUGCUGGUUUUGGAGCAGUUUCUGACUAUCUUGCCAGAGGAGAUCCAGACCUGGGUGAGGGAGCAGCAUCCAGAAAAUGGCGAGGAAGCUGUGGCUCUGGUUGAGGAUGUACAGAGAGCUCCUGGACAACAGCAACAGGUGUGCCCUGGGGCUAUGAAGAGACCAAGACGCUCCUGGCUAUUCUUAGUAGUUCUCAAUUUUAUGGAAAACUCCAGACCUGUCAGCAGAACAGCCAGAUCUACAGGGCCAUGGCGGAAGGACUCUGGGAGCAGGGUUUUCUGCGGACCCCAGAACAGUGUCGCACCAAGUUCAAAAGCCUACAGUUGAGUUACCGCAAAGUGAGGAGAGGCCGUGUGCCUGAGCCUUGUAUCUUUUAUGAGGAAAUGAAUGCUCUUUCAGGCUCCUGGGCCUCUGCACCUCCUAUGGCAAGCGAUGCUGUUCCUGGCCAAGAAGGAAGUGAUAUUGAGGCUGGAGAGCUGAAUCACCAGAAUGGGGAACCCACGGAGGUAGAAGAUGGCACUGUGGAUGGUGCAGACGGGGAUGAAAAGGACUUCAGGAAUCCUGACCAGGAAGUCAGGAAACUAGACCUGCCAGUGCUGUUCCCAAACAGACUUGGUAAGACUCCCUUGGCUCUGAUGGUCAAAGGAUGGCAAAGUCCACUUUAGAGGCCAUUAGCCUAGCAGUUGAGUAGGAUCUGUCACUGAUCCUGGCAUCAUCAUCAUCUUGAUGUGUGACCCUAUCCAAGUUUUGGUUUUCAUGGAGUUAAAGGUUA
rnacentral:sRNA from 1 species